UACGUAGGUGGCAAGCGUUGUCCGGAUUUACUGGGCGUAAAGAGCGCGCAGGCGGUCAGAUAAGUCGAAUGUGAAAGCCCCCGGCUCAACUGGGGAGGGUCAUUCGAUACUGUUCGACUCGAAGGCAGGAGAGGGAAGCGGAAUUCCCGGUGUAGUGGUGAAAUGCGUAGAUAUCGGGAGGAACACCAGUGGCGAAGGCGGCUUCCUGGCCUGUUCUUGACGCUGAGGCGCGAAAGCUAGGGGAGCGAACCGG
rnacentral:rRNA from 1 species